UACAGAGGUCUCAAGCGUUGUUCGGAUUCAUUGGGCGUAAAGGGCGCGUAGGCGGCGGCGUAAGUCGGGUGUGAAGUCUCAGAGCUCAACUCUGAAACUGCACUCGAUACUGCUCUGCUUGAGGACUGGAGAGGAGACUGGAAUUCACGGUGUAGCAGUGAAAUGCGUAGAUAUCGUGAGGAAGACCAGUGGCGAAGGCGGGUCUCUGGACAGUUCCUGACGCUGAGGCGCGAAGGCCAGGGGAGCAAACGGG
rnacentral:rRNA from 1 species